rnacentral:tRNA from 1 species
GCCGGAGUGGCGGAACUGGCAGACGCGUACGACUCAAAAUUGUAUGGAGCUUGCUCCUUGAGGGUUCGACUCCCUCCUCCGGCA